rnacentral:rRNA from 1 species
AACGAACGCUGGCGGCAUGCCUAACACAUGCAAGUCGAACGAGAUCUUCGGGUCUAGUGGCGCACGGGUGCGUAACGCGUGGGAAUCUGCCCUUUGGUUCGGAAUAACAGUUGGAAACGACUGCUAAUACCGUAUAAUAUCUCCGGAUCAAAGAUUUAUCGCUGAGGGAGCGGCCCGCGUCUGAUUAGCUAGUUGGUGAGGUAAUGGCUCACCAAGGCUACGAUCAGUAGCAGGUCUGAGAGGAUGAUCUGCCACACUGGGACUGAGACACGGCCCAGACUCCUACGGGAGGCAGCAGUUAGGAAUAUUGGACAAUGGGGGAAACCCUGAUCCAGCCAUGCCGCGUGUGUGAUGAAGGCCCUAGGGUUGUAAAGCACUUUCGUUGGGGAUGAUAAUGACCGUACCCAAAGAAGAAGCCACGGCUAAAUUCGUGCCAGCAGCCGCCGCGG